rnacentral:rRNA from 1 species
CAGCUACGUUCAGUAGACUGGCGAGCUGAUCAGCAUGCCGCGUGUGUGAAGAAGGCCUUCGGGUUGUAAAGCACUUUUGUCCGGAAAGAAAACUUCUGCCCUAAUACGGCGGGAGGAUGACGGUACCGGAAGAAUAAGCACCGGCUAACUACGUGCCAGCAGCCGCGGUAAUACGUAGGGUGCGAGCGUUAAUCGGAAUUACUGGGCGUAAAGCGUGCGCAGGCGGUUUGUUAAGACCGAUGUGAAAUCCCCGGGCUCAACCUGGGAACUGCAUUGGUGACUGGCAAGCUAGAGUAUGGCAGAGGGGGGUAGAAUUCCACGUGUAGCAGUGAAAUGCGUAGAGAUGUGGAGGAAUACCGAUGGCGAAGGCAGCCCCCUGGGCCAAUACUGACGCUCAUGCACGAAAGCGUGGGGAGCAAACAGGAUAAGAUACCCCC